UACGUAGGAGGCGAGCGUUAUCCGGAAUUAUUGGGCGUAAAGAGCGCGUAGGCGGGCUGGUCGGUCGUGCGUGAAAGGUGGGGGCUCAACUCCCAGAAUGCGCGCGAUACCGCCGGUCUUGAGGUAGGCAGGGGAUGGUGGAAUUCCGCGAGGAGUGGUGAAAUGCGUAGAGACGCGGAGGAACACCGGUGGCGAAGGCGGCCAUCUGGGCCUUACCUGACGCUGAGGCGCGAAAGCCAGGGGAGCGAACGGG
rnacentral:rRNA from 1 species